UACAGAGGGUGCAAACGUUGUUCGGAAUUACUGGGCGUAAAGCGCGUGCAGGCGGCCUUGCAAGUCCCAUGUGAAAGCCCACGGCUCAACCGUGGAAGUGCAUGGGAAACUGCAGAGCUUGAGUACUUAAGAGGAUCGCGGAAUUCCCGGUGUAGAGGUGAAAUUCGUAGAUAUCGGGAGGAACAUCAGUGGCGAAAGCGGCUUCCUGGACCAGCACCGACGUCAGGC
rnacentral:rRNA from 1 species